UAGUAGUCAGUCAUAUUGCAUAUUGGAAAUGUUUCUGUUUAUGUCUCUCCAGGUGCAAGACGCAAUAAACCUCGGAAAGGUCUUUGCUGCCAUGAUGCUCGAAACCAUGCAUUCAAAAGUUUGAAAGCUAUUAAGUAACUGGAAGGGGAAAAAAAUCCUUUCUAGAGCUACUCAGAAUUUUCAAUCAUUAGGCUUGUGGAUUCAAGGUAAAUGGGUGAGGAAAAAAUCCAAAAAUGUGGCUACGCCACAAGUUCUGUAAAGGCAAAAUCAUUUCUCCUUGUAAGAAGAUCCCUGGGGCACUUCCUCAGUUAUAACAAACCAGAACAGGAAACCACGGAGAAACAAAGACCAAGAGCCCUUCUCUGAUCUCCAAGUUUACUACACUCACUGCUUUUUGGUUUCAAACUAAAGCUCCUCACCAUUUGAAGGAGAUUCAUUCUUCUCCAAAGCUGCAUCAUGCUGAUGAUCCAUUGCAUCCAGCUCACUAAAGGACAAACACUCUUCUUUGUCAUUGAAUCUUUCAGACUCAACCACUCUUUGGCCAGUUGUGUUAUUUAUUCUUCCCAGUCUUGAGACUGGAAGCUCCUCUAGCUGUCUGUGCCAAGGAGACCUAGAUCACAUUAUCUCUAACAUCGACACUUAACUGAUCCUGCCCUUCUGUUCUUUAAAUUGUAGUUUGUUAUAGUAUUGUAACUAAUGAAUGAAUCACAGGUUUAAAACUCCUGAGUGGUUCUUAUGUGCUAAAUCCCCAAAGAACAAGUCCAAAGGGUUCCAUUACAGGGUAUGUGCCAUAAGACAGGAUUAGCACUCAGCUUAUAACUAGCCAUGUUUGAUUUGACUUCCAAUAUACCCAGUUGUGUAAUUUGGGGGCUGACUGAGAUCCUGGGAAGGAGACAGAAGUUGUGUAGUACAGUGGAAUAAAGUUCUGUGUUUAGCACUUUGCCACUAACUAGAUGUAUGGUGUUGGAUUGGCCACUUGGGUUUCAUCUAUAAAAUGAAGGAUUCUGACUUGGUCUUUUGGGUCUCAUUCAUCCCUGAGGAUUAUUGAUUUCAAGUCUCAAAGACAUAAUUUAAAAAUCCUGAGAUUUCAAGGCGCUUAAAAAAUCAUUUACUUUUAUCCAAAGGAAAGACUUCUUGGGAAGAGAAUUCCAGUUUUUUUCAUAUAUUUCAAUAGCUAAUUGCUUCAGUGUAAACUCCAUCUUUAUGUCUCACUAUAUCUUUGAACAAUAAAGAUGUUUU
rnacentral:lncRNA from 1 species